GCCCCCAUCGUCUAGGGGACUAGGACGUAGCCCUUUCAAGGCUAAAACGGGAGUUCGAAUCUCCCUGGGGGCA
rnacentral:tRNA from 1 species